UCGGCACUCGGGACCGGAAAUACGUUGUCCCCGACAGCGCGUCACUUCCGGCAGGCAAAGCUGGUGUCGGAGGCGUAAGCUAGAGUAUUGCCCUGCGCCGGUAAAUGCGGCUGAGUAUUUGUGGAGCGCCUAGCGUUUGAAGGGUGCAGUGCUGCACAACGGGGACACAGAGAUGAAGAGUGCUUAAUCCGUGCUGUCUGGAACCCACAGUGUAGUGGAAGAGUUGUACGGCAGGAUGGGGGUGUGGGAAACACUGGAAAGAUUUGAGAAGGUCAAGAUCUCAGGGUCCUGGGAUCCAGUCCUGAGCCCUGUCUGGCUCCACGCACAGCAAGGAGUCAGCUUGAGAUUUUCUCUCUGCCUCUGCCCCUCCCACUCCUGAGCAAAUCAGAGACUUUCCUCAGUUUCUCAAAUGCUGCGUGUACCUCGCUAUCUUCAGGCCUUUAUAGCUGUUGUCUUUGCACCGCAGUCUUUCUUCUUUCAGCUAAGGUACCUAGCACUGUGUGCUGAAUGCUCUUCAUUCAUUGCUUACUUCACCCAGUAUCCUGAGAGGUGCAGAAAGUAAGGAAGGGUUAUGGAAUGAUGGCGAUUUCUCCCUCCACAAAGAAGUCACAGCUGAACUUUUCCUGGUGGAACCCAACAGGGCUGUUGGCUUCAUAACAUUACCUUGCUGAGCUUUGGGAUCCUAACGUGGACACCAGCCCGUAAGCCUGUGCCAAGGUUCGAAGGGCAGGUCAGAAUGUAUCCUAGUCGCUCAUUCCACAUGAACUCCCAGCCUCGCGCUUGGAUUAAGCGUUCCACCUACAACAGUGAACAAAUGGAGUUCUUAGAUAUCCAUUCACUCAGUACAUCCGCAACACUAGGGAGAGACAUGUGUACUGUAUGUUUGCCAUGAAUAAAAUCUAGGCAAAUUUGUAUUACUUCCUUAAUGGAAAAGGAUACUACUAUCCAAAUAUUAAAAUGAUCCAAUUAAAUUAGAUGAAGCAUGUAAAGCACUGAAUGCAGUACCUAGCACAUACUAAACAUUCAAUGAAUGUCAGUUGCUGUUCAUUAUUUUUCGUGGGAGAAUAAUAGGAGAAUAUAGGAAUUCUCAGCAGGUAAGGCUGUGGUCAGGUUACUUUAUGAACAGUUAUAUCCUAUACUGUCUCUAUGCUUAAAAUCGCCAAGAGCACUGUUAAAGAAAUUGGAAUAUAAUUAAUGAUCCACAGACUUCCCUAAACCAUUCUGGACUGGGAAGGGAAGCAUAGGAACUUACUAGUAAUUUAAAAAAAAAAAAAGUCACCUAUUUUUUGAAGCACUACCCUGGUAGCCCCACCCUCAAAGAGUGCCAUGAUCCCUAGAAAAAAUUAGCCUCAUCUUGGAAGUCACCAUAGUGUCUUCUGUUAAGAAUGAAGAAGUGUUUUCAUUUUAAUGAAUAUUAAGAAAUCUCUGGUAAUAUCUUACUUCUUUUAGUCCACGACAGAAUCGCUCAAAUACUCUUUUCAUAUUGCCUCCUUUUUCCAUAGAGAUUACCCUGGUGUGGUCUUCCUCAUUAAUCCAGAUGAGAAAUGUCUUGUCAUAAUUAUG